UUGGAGGGCAAGUCUGGUGCCAGCAGCCGCGGUAAUUCCAGCUCCAAUAGCGUAUAUUAAAGUUGUUGCAGUUAAAAAGCUCGUAGUUGAAUUUCGGGGUUAGUAGGUUGGUCAUGCCUCUGGUAUGUACUGGUCUCACUGAUUCCUCCUUCCUGAUGAACCGUAAUGCCAUUAAUUUGGUGUUGCGGGGAAUUUGGACUGUUACUUUGAAAAAAUUAGAGUGUUUAAAGCAAGCUAACGCUUGAAUACAUUAGCAUGGAAUAACGAAAUAGGACGUUCGAUCCUAUUUUGUUGGUUUCUAGGAUUGACGUAAUGAUUAAUAGGGAUAGUUGGGGGCAUUAGUAUUCAAUUGUCAGAGGUGAAAUUCUUGGAUUUAUUGAAGACUAACUACUGCGAAAGCAUUUGCCAAGGAUGUUUUCAUUAAUCAAGAACGAAAGUUAGGGGAUCGAAGACGAUCAGAUACCGUCGUAGUCUUAACCAUAAACUAUGCCGACUAGGGAUCGGAUGAUGUUAAUUUUUUAAUGACUCAUUCGGCGCCUUACGGGAAAC
rnacentral:rRNA from 2 species